GUUCCCUGAUGACAGUGGCCACUUUCAGCAGGAUAAUAUACCCUACCAUGCUGCAAAAAGUGUUCAUGGCUGGUUUUACAAACAUGUGAAAGAGUUCAGGGUGUUGCCUUGGCCUCCUAAUUCCCCAGGUCCCCCCAUUUGAACAUCUGUGGAUUGUGAUGGAACAACAAAUCCAAUCCAUGGAGGCCCCACCUCACAACUUGCAGGAUCUAAAUAUCUGCUGCUCAUAUUUUUGUGCCAGAUACCACAGGAUACGUUUAGA